UAUACUUUAUCAAAUUAUGUUCAACUUAAAAGAUGAUCACACUUUCAAAUGGAUGGAUUAUAUUAAAUCGAUCCUAGACAAUGCCGGACUAAGCUAUGUUUGGACUCAGCAAUCACCAUUAGAUAUAAAUCAACUAAAAAUCGUACUGACAGAAAAACUAAAAGAUUCAUUCAUUCAACAAUGGCAUAGUCAAAUUGACAACUCAUCCAGAGGAG
rnacentral:lncRNA from 1 species